rnacentral:rRNA from 1 species
AUUGAACGCUGGCGGAAUGCUUUACACAUGCAAGUCGAACGGCAGCACGGGUGCUUGCACCUGGUGGCGAGUGGCGAACGGGUGAGUAAUACAUCGGAACGUACCCAGUUGUGGGGGAUAACGAGUCGAAAGAUUCGCUAAUACCGCAUACGACCUGAGGGCGAAAGCGGGGGACCGUAAGGCCGCGCGCAAUUGGAGCGGCCGAUGUCUGAUUAGCUAGAUGGGUGGGUAAAGGCUCACCAAGGCGACGAUCAGUAGCUGGUCUGGGAGGAUGGUCAGCCACACUGGAACUGAGACACGGUACAGACUCCUACGGGAGGCAGCAGUGGGGAAUUUUGGACAAUGGGGCAAACCCUGAUCCAGCCAUUCCGCGUGAGUGAAGAAGGCCUUCGGGUUGUAAAGCUCUUUCGGCAGGGAAGAAACGCUCUGGCUUAAUACGCCGGGGUAAUGACGGUACCUGAAGAAGAAGCACCGGCUAACUACGUGCCAGCCGCCGCAGUAAGAC